CCUGUCCCUAGAGGCAUUGCAGGUGUGGCUGCUGCAUCGAAUGUGCAUCAGUGGGAGGCAGAAAGCAGAGAAGCUAUGUCUACGCUCAGUGUUCUCAUCUGUGAACAUUUGGAUGAUUAGUAGCCUAACGUU